rnacentral:miRNA from 1 species
CUGGGAGAGGGGUGUUUACGCU